rnacentral:rRNA from 1 species
GACGAACGCUGGCGGCGUGCUUAACACAUGCAAGUCGAACGGUAAGGCCCUUCGGGGUACACGAGUGGCGAACGGGUGAGUAACACGUGGGUGAUCUGCCCUGCACUUCGGGAUAAGCCUGGGAAACUGGGUCUAAUACCGGAUAGGACCACUGCCUGCCUGGGGGGUGGUGGAAAGCUUUUGCGGUGUGGGAUGGGCCCGCGGCCUAUCAGCUUGUUGGUGGGGUGAUGGCCUACCAAGGCGACGACGGGUAGCCGGCCUGAGAGGGUGACCGGCCACACUGGGACUGAGAUACGGCCCAGACUCCUACGGGAGGCAGCAGUGGGGAAUAUUGCACAAUGGGCGCAAGCCUGAUGCAGCGACGCCGCGUGAGGGAUGACGGCCUUCGGGUUGUAAACCUCUUUCAGCACCGACGAAGCGCAAGUGACGGUAGGUGCAGAAGAAGGACCGGCCAACUACGUGCCAGCAGCCGCGGUAA